UGAGUUUGAUCCUGGCUCAGGACAAACGCUGGCGGCGUGUAUUAGGCAUGCAAGUCGCACGGACCUUCGGGUCAGUGGCGGACGGGUGAGUAACACGUGGGUAACCUGCCCUUCAGUGGGGAAUAACUCGCCGAAAGGCGAGCUAAUACCGCAUUCGACUUCCGGUGAGAGACCGGAUAGUGAAAGCAGCAAUGCGCUGAAGGAGGGGCCCGCGGCCGAUUAGCUUGUUGGUGGGGUAAUAGCCUACCAAGGCGACGAUCGGUAGCUGGUCUGAGAGGAUGGUCAGCCACACGGGGACUGAGAUACGGCCCCGACUCCUACGGGAGGCAGCAGCUAAGAAUCUUGCGCAAUGGGCGAAAGCCUGACGCAGCAACGCCGCGUGGGGGACGAAGGCCUUCGGGUCGUAAACCCCUUUUGCGAGGGAAGAAGUUCUGACGGUACCUCGCGAAUAAGCCACGGCUAACUACGUGCCAGCAGCCGCGGUAAUACGUAGGUGGCAAGCGUUGUCCGGAUUUACUGGGCGUAAAGCGCCCGCAGGCGGCUUGUUAAGUUCAAGGUGAAAUCUCCCGGCUCAACUGGGAGGGUGCCUCGAAAACUGGCAGGCUUGAGGUGAGGAGAGGGAUGCGGAAUUCCAGGUGUAGCGGUGAAAUGCGUAGAUAUCUGGAGGAGCACCAGUGGCGAAGGCGGCAUCCUGGCCUUAUCCUGACGCU
rnacentral:rRNA from 1 species